AUGAACGGUCGGUUUCCCAUGAAUUUUCCAUAUAUCCUGUGCAACACUGUCUUCAAACAGUCCCUCUCUCUGGGAUCAUCAGAAUCAAACAGGUCAAGCAGCUUUGAGAUGAAUUUACUGUCCACAUACUUCCUAGCCACCUUGGGGUCAACAAAUGGCGAGGUCACAAACCGCAGAAGCAAUUCAUACACAACUUGCAGGUGGUACCAAGAGGGGUCGAAGAAGGGCUCGUCCUCCUCCGUCUCCGACGCGGUGCUGCCUGACCGGACCUUGGGCGGGAAGACCCUGAAGAGGUUCACAGCGAACAUGCGCACGCACGCCGACAUCAUGGCCUCCGUGAGGGGCUCCUCGGCGGCGCCAAUGGAGUCGACGAGGGACAUGAGGACCUGCCGCUUCCUCUCCUUCUCCGGCGAGUCCUUGCCCCGGUCGGUGAAGUCGUACACCGUGCAGCAAAUGGUCACCUUCUCGAUGAAGGCGUCCUCCCUGGACCUCCCCUCGGCCCCGGCGGCCCCCGAGGGGGACCUGGGCGAGGCGGGGGGCUUCCCGAAUGCCCCAUUCUCCCUGGGGGACAUGGGAUUGGACUUCGCCGUGGGCGAGCCCCCACCGCCGCCGCCGCCAGGGCCAGAUUUCAGCGAUUUCCACGACAGCUUGCCGAUAAAUUGCUUCCACAUGGCGGCAGAAUACGGCGGCACCAACACCACAUCAAAUUCUCCCCCAAUCAAAGAACCAUUGCGAGAAAUCCGUCCUCCGGGGAACCGACCGUGA
rnacentral:rRNA from 1 species